GCCAAGCCCCAGCAGCAGCCGAGCUACCAGGCCAAGCCCCAGCAGCAGCCGAGCUACCAGGCCAAGCCCCAGCAGCAGCCGAGCUACCAGGCCAAGCCCCAGCAGCAGCCGAGCUACCAGGCCAAGCCCCAGCAGCAGCCGAGCGGAUUUCAAAGCAAAGAUGGCAUGUGGGACUUUGCUCUUUCCCAUGAUGUCUCUUUUGACCCAAAUGAGGAGAUGCCCACUUACCCUGAAGUGAAUGUUCGGCCUAGAAAUGUUAGACCAACUCAUAUGGUGGCACCAAACCAUCCUGGAUGGCAGCGGCGAUGGGUCCGUUAGUGACUUUGAGUUUGGCGACUUGUGACUCUUCAGGAGAAUCGGCCAUCUUUGAAAACUCAAUAAAAUAAUUGAACUACA